rnacentral:rRNA from 1 species
AUUGAACGCUGGCGGCAGGCCUAACACAUGCAAGUCGAACGGUAACAGGAAGACGCUUGCUUCUUUGCUGACGAGUGGCGGACGGGUGAGUAAUGUCUGGGACACUGCCUGAUGGAGGGGGAUAACUACUGGAAACGGUAGCUAAUACCGCAUAACGUCGCAAGACCAAAGAGGGGGACCUUCGGGCCUCUUGCCAUCGGAUGUGCCCAGAUGGGAUUAGCUAGUAGGUGGGGUAACGGCUCACCUAGGCGACGAUCCCUAGCUGGUCUGAGAGGAUGACCGGCCACACUGGAGCUGAGACACGGUCCAGACGCCUACGGGAGGCAGCAGUGGGGAAUAUUACACAAUGGGCGGAAGCCUGAUGCAGUCAGGCCGCGUGUAUGAAGAAGGCCUUCGGGUUGUAAAGUACUUUCAGCGGUGAGGAAGGGAGUAAAGUUAAUACCUUGGCUCAUUGACGUUACCCGCAGAUGAAGCACCGGCUAACUACGUG